rnacentral:rRNA from 1 species
GGAAUGGUGAAAAGUACCCCGGGAGGGGAGUGAAAUAGUACCUGAAACCGUGUGCUUACAAGCCGUUGGAGCCUUUUGGGGUGACAGCGUGCCUUUUGAAGAAUGAGCCUGCGAGUUAGUGUUAUGUCGCGAGGUUAACCCGUGUGGGGUAUCCGUAGCGAAAGCGAGUCUGAAUAGGGCGUUUGAGUGGCAUGACCUAGACCCGAAGCGGAGUGAUCUAUCCAUGGCCAGGUUGAAGCGACGGUAAGACGUCGUGGAGGACCGAACCCACUUCAGUUGAAAAUGGAGGGGAUGAGCUGUGGAUAGGGGUGAAAGGCCAAUCAAACUCUGUGAUAGCUGGUUCUCCCCGAAAUGCAUUUAGGUGCAGCGUUACGUGUUUCUUGCCGGAGGUAGAGCUACUGGAUGGCCGAUGGGCCUUCACGGGUUACUGACGUCAGCUAAACUCCGAAUGCCGGUAAGUGAGAGCGUAGCAGUGAGACAGUGGGGGAUAAGCUUCAUUGUCGAGAGGGAAACAGCCCAGACCACCAACUAAGGCCCCUAAGCGUGUGCUAAGUGGGAAAGGAUGUGGAGUUGCUUAGACAACCAGGAGGUUGGCUUAGAAGCAGCCAUCCUUGAAAGAGUGCGUAACAGCUCACUGGUCAAGUGAUUCUGCGCCGAUAAUGUAGCGGGGCUCAAGUACACCGCCGAAGUUGUGGCAAUGAUCUUUUUGGAUUGUUGGGUAGGGGAGCGUCGUGUGGCCGUUGAAGCUGCGGUGUAAACCAGUGGUGGAGGCUAUGCGAGUGAGAAUGCAGGCAUGAGUAGCGAAAGAUGAGUGAGAAACUCAUCCGCCGGAUGAUCAAGGGUUCCAGGGUCAAGUUAAUCUGCCCUGGGUUAGUCGGGGCCUAAGGCGAGGCCGACAGGCGUAGUCGAUGGAUAACGGGUUGAUAUUCCCGUACCGGUGAAAAACCGCCCAUACUGAUAUUGUGAUGCUAACCAUGCGAAGCAUGAUGUGCAGGCUUUUGUUUGUGUGUUGUGUGGGUUGUGGGACCCGAUCUUUGGAGGUAAACGUGUUAACAGGUGUGACGCAGGAAGGUAGCCAAGCCACGCGAUGGUUGUCGUGGUCUAAGCGUGUAGGGUUGUCGGUUGUUAAAUGCGCCGGCUGUGUGCCUGAGACGUGAUGGGACCCCGUUUUUGGGGGAUUUGGUGAUCCUAUGCUGCCGAGAAAAGCAUCGGCGUGAGGUUUUAGCCGCCCGUACCCUAAACCGACACAGGUGAUCAGGUAGAGAAUACUAAGGCGAUCGAGAGAAUCAUGGUUAAGGAACUCGGCAAAAUGCCCCCGUAACUUCGGGAGAAGGGGGACCUUGAGCGUGAUGGGCACUUGCUGCCUGGAGCGUGUAUGGGUCGCAGAGACCAGGGGGAAGCGACUGUUUAUCAAAAACACAGGUCCGUGCGAAGUCGUAAGACGAUGUAUACGGACUGACUCCUGCCCGGUGCUGGAAGGUUAAGAGGAUUGGUUAGCCUUUUUUGGGCGAAGCUGAGAAUUUAAGCCCCAGUAAACGGCGGUGGUAACUAUAACCAUCCUAAGGUAGCGAAAUUCCUUGUCGGGUAAGUUCCGACCUGCACGAAUGGAGUAACGACUUCCCUACUGUCUCAACCAUGAACUCGGCGAAAUUGCAGUACGAGUAAAGAUGCUCGUUUCGCGCAGCAGGACGGAAAGACCCCGUGACCUUUACUAUAGUUUGGUAUUGGUGUUUGGUUUGGCUUGUGUAGGAUAGGUGGGAGACUGUGAAGCAUGGACGCUAGUUUGUGUGGAGUCGUUGUUGAAAUACCACUCUGGUCAAUCUGGAUGUCUAACUUCGGGCCAUGAUCUGGUUCAGGGACAGUGCCUGAUGGGUAGUUUAACUGGGGCGGUUGCCUCCUAAAGUGUAACGGAGGCGCCCAAAGGUUCCCUCAGCCUGGUUGGCAAUCAGGUGUUGAGUGUAAGUGCACAAGGGAGCUUGACUGUGAGACUGGCAGGUCGAGCAGGGACGAAAGUCGGGACUAGUGAUCCGGCGGUACGUUGUGGAACGGCCGUCGCUCAACGGAUAAAAGGUACCUCGGGGAUAACAGGCUGAUCUUGCCCAAGAGUCCAUAUCGACGGCAUGGUUUGGCACCUCGAUGUCGGCUCGUCGCAUCCUGGGGCUGGAGUCGGUCCCAAGGGUUGGGCUGUUCGCCCAUUAAAGCGGUACGCGAGCUGGGUUCAGAACGUCGUGAGACAGUUCGGUCCCUAUCCGCUGCGCGCGUUGGAAAUUUGAGAAAGGCUGUCCUUAGUACGAGAGGACCGGGACGGACGAACCUCUGGUAUGUCAGUUGUACCGCCAGGUGCAUGGCUGAUUGGCUACGUUCGGGAGGGAUAACCGCUGAAAGCAUCUAAGCGGGAAGCCUGUUUCGAGAUGAGAUUUCCUGGCACUUUUGGUGUGUGAGGCUCCUUAUAGAUGAUGAGGUUGAUAGGCCGGGUAUGGAAGCGGGGACUGAAGACUCGUGGAGUUGACUGGUACUAAUAGGCCGAAGGCUUACUUUU